rnacentral:rRNA from 1 species
GCAAGGAGCUGUUAGUCUGUAUAGCUUAAUCGCUGAUGAGCAGCUGGUCUCUUUUCUCUACCCUUGUCUUUUGCGUACCCAUGUUUCCUCGGUAGGCUUGCCUGCCGGCUGGACAAUUCUAUAACCUUUUUAAUUUUUAAUCAGCGUCUGAAAAAACUUAAUAAUUACAACUUUCAACAACGGAUCUCUUGGUUCUGGCAUCGAUGAAGAACGCAGCGAAAUGCGAUAAGUAGUGUGAAUUGCAGAAUUCAGUGAAUCAUCGAAUCUUUGAACGCACAUUGCGCCCCUUGGUAUUCCAUGGGGCAUGCCUGUUCGAGCGUCAUUUGUACCUUCAAGCUUUGCUUGGUGUUGGGUGUUUUGUCCUCUCCUUGGUGUUUGGACUCGCCUUAAAACAAUUGGCAGCCAGUGUUUUGGUAUUGAAGCGCAGCACAAGUCGCGAUUCUGACCUAAUAACACUUGCAUCCACAAGUCUUUUUUAACUUUUGACCUCGGAUCAGGUAGGGAUACCCGCUGAACUUAAGCAUAUCAAUAAGCGGAG